CCUACGGGAGGCUGCAGUGGGGAAUAUUGGGCAAUGGAGGAAACUCUGACCCAGCAACGCCGCGUGAAUGAUGAAGGUCUUCGGAUUGUAAAGUUCUUUUCUAAGGGAAGACGAAAGUGACGGUACCUUAGGAAUAAGCCUCGGCUAACUACGUGCCAGCAGCCGCGGUAAUACGUAGGAGGCGAGCGUUAUCCGGAAUGACUGGGCGUAAAGGGUGCGUAGGUGGUUUGGCAAGUUAGUAGCGUAACUCCAAGGCUCAACCUUGGAACUACUACUAAAACUGUUGGACUUGAGUGCAGGAGGGGCAACCGGAAUUCCUAGUGUAGCGGUGGAAUGCGUAGAUAUUAGGAGGAACAUCAGGGGCGAAGGCGACUUACUGGACUGUAACUGACACUGAGGCACGAAAGCGUGGGGAGCAAACAGGAUUAGAUACCCUUGUAGUC
rnacentral:rRNA from 1 species